rnacentral:rRNA from 1 species
UAGGGAAUCUUCCGCAAUGGGCGAAAGCCUGACGGAGCAACGCCGCGUGAGUGAUGAAGGUCUUCGGAUCGUAAAACUCUGUUAUUAGGGAAGAACAAAUGUGUAAGUAACUAUGCACGUCUUGACGGUACCUAAUCAGAAAGCCACAGCUAACUACGUGCCAGCAGCCGCGGUAAUACGUAGGUGGCAAGCGUUAUCCGGAAUUAUUGGGCGUAAAGCGCGCGUAGGCGGUUUUUUAAGUCUGAUGUGAAAGCCCACGGCUCAACCGUGGAGGGUCAUUGGAAACUGGAAAACUUGAGUGCAGAAGAGGAAAGUGGAAUUCCAUGUGUAGCGGUGAAAUGCGCAGAGAUAUGGAGGAACACCAGUGGCGAAGGCGACUUUCUGGUCUGUAACUGACGCUGAUGUGCGAAAGCGUGGGGAUCAAACAGG